UGUUGCGAUAAAAUCAGCACAAAUGCACCGAAUAUCAUCAGAUCCCAGAAGCUAAGCAUGGUUGAGCCUGGUUAAUACUUGAGAUGGGAGACUGCAUGGCCGUAGUUCAAGUGACCUGUAGAC
rnacentral:rRNA from 1 species